rnacentral:rRNA from 1 species
UCACUUAUAGAUGGAUCCGCGCUGCAUUAGCUAGUUGGUAAGGUAACGGCUUACCAAGGCAACGAUGCAUAGCCGACCUGAGAGGGUGAUCGGCCACACUGGAACUGAGACACGGUCCAGACUCCUACGGGAGGCAGCAGUAGGGAAUCUUCCGCAAUGGGCGAAAGCCUGACGGAGCAACGCCGCGUGAGUGAUGAAGGUCUUCGGAUCGUAAAACUCUGUUAUUAGGGAAGAACAUAUGUGUAAGUAACUGUGCACAUCUUGACGGUACCUAAUCAGAAAGCCACGGCUAACUACGUGCCAGCAGCCGCGGUAAUACGUAGGUGGCAAGCGUUAUCCGGAAUUAUUGGGCGUAAAGCGCGCGUAGGCGGUUUUUUAAGUCUGAUGUGAAAGCCCACGGCUCAACCGUGGAGGGUCAUUGGAAACUGGAAAACUUGAGUGCAGAAGAGGAAAGUGGAAUUCCAUGUGUAGCGGUGAAAUGCGCAGAGAUAUGGAGGAACACCAGUGGCGAAGGCGACUUUCUGGUCUGUAACUGACGCUGAUGUGCGAAAGCGUGGGGAUCAAACAGGAUUAGAUACCCUGGUAGUCCACGCCGUAAACGAUGAGUGCUAAGUGUUAGGGGGUUUCCGCCCCUUAGUGCUGCAGCUAACGCAUUAAGCACUCCGCCUGGGGAGUACGACCGCAAGGUUGAAACUCAAAGGAAUUGACGGGGACCCGCACAAGCGGUGGAGCAUGUGGUUUAAUUCGAAGCAACGCGAAGAACCUUACCAAAUCUUGACAUCCUUUGACAACUCUAGAGAUAGAGCCUUCCCCUUCGGGGGACAAAGUGACAGGUGGUGCAUGGUUGUCGUCAGCUCGUGUCGUGAGAUGUUGGGUUAAGUCCCGCAACGAGCGCAACCCUUAAGCUUAGUUGCCAUCAUUAAGUUGGGCACUCUAAGUUGACUGCCGGUGACAAACCGGAGGAAGGUGGGGAUGACGUCAAAUCAUCAUGCCCCUUAUGAUUUGGGCUACACACGUGCUACAAUGGACAAUACAAAGGGCAGCGAAACCGCGAGGUCAAGCAAAUCCCAUAAAGUUGUUCUCAGUUCGGAUUGUAGUCUGCAACUCGACUACAUGAAGCUGGAAUCGCUAGUAAUCGUAGAUCAGCAUGCUACGGUGAAUACGUUCCCGGGUCUUGUACACACCGCCCGUCACACCACGAGAGUUUGUAACACCCGAAGCCGGUGGAGUAACCUUUUAGGAGCUAGCCGUCGAAGGUGGGACAAAUGAUUGGGGUGAAGUCGUAACAAGGUAGCCGUAUCGGAAGGUGCGGCUGGAUCACCUCCUUU